CCCCACCUGCCGUGCAUUCACCACUGAAUGUCGGGGUGGGGGGGAAGCGAGGGUGGUUUAAAUGAGAAAGGAGGAGUUGCAUUUGCGUAGCGACCCAACCGUGCCACCAGUGGGAGUCAGAGCGUUUACAGGGCAGGGAACGCCUUUGAGCUCUGGUCACUGUCCCUGAUGGGCGGGAGUUUCGGCAGCCUAGAAGUGCACAGCAAGAUCCCACAAGCAGCACAGCGCCGGUGUUCCGUGCACAGGGGCAUGGGGAGCAGGAGGACUGGGUGUUCCUGACGAGAUUCUGUUUCCUAUCCGACUAUGGGAGGCUUCAAUUCCACUUCAAGUACCCAGAGGCGAAUUGUUGCCAGAACAUCUUGCUUUAUUUCGACGAAGUGACGCAGUGGCCUGCUGUUUACCAGAAGGAUGACCUGGU